UAUUUGGAGAGAAGGUUGACUGCAAUAGGCAUGUCUAAGAUGCCUGAGUUUGAAUCAUGAUUCCAGAAAUACCAUUUUCAAUGGAUGAUAGGGUUGUGAUUUUUUGGUUCAACCCAAUAACCCAAACUGAUAAUUAGUUUAUCGAGUUAGUGGAUUGGUUUUGUUACUUUUUGAGUCGAGUAUCGGGUUAAAUAUUUUUUUAUUGGUUUAUCGGUUUGGUCCUCAAGUUUAGAGAAUUUUUAAUCGUGCUACCCGAUAUCCCGAUACACAAAUAAGUACACUACAGGAUUAAUCAUCCUAACAGGACACUAUUCCAAGCGGCCCAAAAUCUAAAGGGUUAGUGUCAACCCAAGCAGACCAAAGCGCAAAGGUAAUAGGUGUAUAGGGUGUAUACUUUAUUCUUUUCAUUCCCUCUCUCACUAGUCAUUACAAUUAGUGCCUCUCACACUACAAUUCAUAUUUUUUAUCUCACAAUCAGAUGUUGAUUUCACAAUUAGCCGAUUGAGCAAUAUUUCGUCCCUACGAUCAGCUUAAUUUUUGCUCAAAACUGCUCAAUUUAGAGGGACAAAAUAUUGCUCGGCUAUUGCUACUCAUACUCACUAUUGUUGUUGCGCUAAAACAGUACAGUUGAAGGUCAUGGAUGUGGCUAAUCAUCUUCAUUUAGAGACAAAGAAGAUAGAUGACCAGUGGCACUUUAAAGCAUACUAGAUAAAUUGUAUCUAAUUCUAUUUGUACUACCAAAUUAUGAAGGCUCUUACCGAAGGAAAGACUGAUUCCAAUUAUUUUUAGUUUGAGAUGGAUAGAAUAUAGUAGGCUUGGAAUUUCUCUCUUUCCUUUAUGAUGUAAGAGUUCGUGUCUUGGAAAAUAUUUGUCCCUUUGUGUGUUAAUUUAACUGAAUGUUGCAGUGUUGUUGCCUCAA